UGUUUGAAUUCCCAUAGACAAAUUCCUUGUCGUUUUUAACCUGUAAAAAAAAUUAAAAUCCAUCAGUGGGUGAAGGACAACAUUUGAUAUGAGAUCACUUGAGUUGCCAAGAGAAGCUGGCCAAACCUGACUGGAAGGGGAACCUGGUAGGAAUGACGAUGGAGCAGCAAUGGCUGGAGUCUCUGGGAGCAACUCAGGAGGUUAAAACAGGUCCAUUUCAUGAAAUAUAAGCCAAGAAAUAAAAAGAAACUGGAAUUACCAGAAACACUCUGCAGGAUGGCCAUCCAGCCACAUCUGUAGAAGCUCAAACCAAAGUCAAAGCCAAAACACCAGCAGUUCCAUUUGCCUGGAAAGCCGAUCACAGGAUUAGAGCCCAAGCACCAACUCUCCCAGUACUCUUUGCUGCCAGUAAAAUGCUGCAGUGUGUCAGCCCGUCACUGUUCAUAAACGAGCACCUCCACACCAAUGCACAACAGAACUGGGACCUGAUGACCCUCCGGCAUUCCAGCUAACAAUAACCGUUUCUGGAAAUGACUCAGCGAGGCCAAAGGUUCAAAAGAACACUUCACAAUGAAGACAGAGAUUGGAAGAAAGAUUG